rnacentral:rRNA from 1 species
UACAGGGGGGGCAAGCGUUGUUCGGAAUUACUGGGCGUAAAGGGCUCGUAGGCGGCCAACUAAGUCACACGUGAAAUCCCCAGGCUUAACCUGGGAACUGCGUGUGAUACUGGAUGGCUUGAAUUCGGGAGAGGGAUGCAGAAUUCCAGGUGUAGCGGUGAAAUGCGUAGAUAUCUGGAGGAACACCGGUGGCGAAGGCGGCAUCCUGGACCAAUUCUGACGCUGAGGAGCGAAAGCCAGGGGAGCAAACGGG